GCCUUCAUGGUGUAACGGUUAACACACUAGGCGCGUAUUCGAGUGGCUCAGGUUCGAGUCCCGGCGAGGGCA
rnacentral:tRNA from 1 species